GAUGAAGAACGCAGCAAAAUGCGAUAAGUAAUGUGAAUUGAAGAAUUCAGUGAAUCAUCGAAUCUUUGAACGCACAUUGCGCCCGCCAGUAUUCUGGCGGGCAUGCCUGUUCGAGCGUCAUUUCAACCCUCAAGCCCCCGGGUUUGGUGUUGGGGAUCGGGCUGUACUCCAGCCCGGCCCCGAAAUCUAGUGGCGGUCUCGCUGCAGCCUCCAUUGCGUAGUAGCUAACACCUCGCAACUGGAACGCGGCGCGGCCAAGCCGUUAAACCCCCAACUUCUGAAUGUUGACCUCGGAUCAGGUAGGAAUACCCGCUGAACUUAAGCAUAUCAAUAAGCGGAGGA
rnacentral:misc_RNA from 1 species